UACGUAGGGGUGCAAGCGUUGUCCGGAAUUAUUGGGCGUAAAGAGCUCGUAGGCGGUCUGUCGCGUCUGCUGUGAAAAACUCGGGGCUUAACCCCCGGGCCUGCAGUGGGUACGGGCAGACUAGAGUGCGGUAGGGGGAGACUGGAAUUCCUGGUGUAGCGGUGAAAUGCGCAGAUAUCAGGAGGAACACCGGUGGCGAAGGCGGGUCUCUGGGCCGUAACUGACGCUGAGGAGCGAAAGCAUGGGGAGCGAACAGG
rnacentral:rRNA from 1 species